rnacentral:rRNA from 1 species
AGUCGUAACAAGGUUUCCGUAGGUGAACCUGCGGAAGGAUCAUUGUCGAAUCCUCACAAAGCAGUGCGACCCGUGAAUUUGUUUGACUCCUCGGGUGUGGCUUGAGGUGCAUGGCGCCUCGGUCCCCCUAGUGUUGGGAGGUGCCCUCCUCGUGCGGGCCCCUCCUGGCCCAUUAACAAAACCCCGGCGCCGAAUGCGCCAAGGAAAUCGAGAUUGUCUAGCACGCCCCCGUCGGCUCGGAGACGAUGACUGUGUGGUGGCGUUGCGACACGUGUAUCCAAAAGACUCUCGGCAACGGAUAUCUCGGCUCUUGCAUCGAUGAAGAACGUAGCGAAAUGCGAUACUUGGUGUGAAUUGCAGAAUCCCGUGAACCAUCGAGUCUUUGAACGCAAGUUGCGCCCGAAGCCAUUAGGCCGAGGGCACGCCUGCCUGGGUGUCGCACAUCGUUGCCCCAACGCCUCAGCCCUGUUGCUAGGCUUAGUAAAGGGGUGAAUGUUGGCUUCCCGUGAGCGAUGCCUCACGGUUGGCUGAAAAUUGAGUCCGUGGUGGAGUGCGCCGCGAUGGAUGGUGGUUGAGUAAAAGCUCGAGACCGAUCGUGUGUGUCACCCCUACCGGAUUUGGGACUCUUUGACCCAUGAGCGGCCGUUGGCUGCCCAUGACGGGACCUCAGGUCAGGCGGGGCUACCCGCUGAGUUUAAGCAUAUCAAUAAGCGGAAGGAAAAGA